UACGUGGGGUGCGAGCGUUGCCCGGAAUUAUUGGGCGUAAAGAGCUCGUAGGCGGUGUGUCACGUCGGCCGUGAAAACCUGCAGCUUAACUGUGGGCGUGCGGUCGAUACGGGCAUCACUGGAGUUCGGCAGGGGAGACUGGAAUUCCUGGUGUAGCGGUGAAAUGCGCAGAUAUCAGGAGGAACACCGGUGGCGAAGGCGGGUCUCUGGGCCGAUACUGACGCUGAGGAGCGAAAGCGUGGGGAGCAAACAGG
rnacentral:rRNA from 1 species